rnacentral:rRNA from 1 species
UACGAAGGGGGCUAGCGUUGCUCGGAAUCACUGGGCGUAAAGGGCGCGUAGGCGGCGUUUUUAAGUCGGGGGUGAAAGCCUGUGGCUCAACCACAGAAUGGCCUCGAUACUGGAUAUCUUGAGUACGGGAGAGGUGUGUGGAACUCCGAGUGUAGAGGUGAAAUUCGUAGAUAUUCGGAAGAACACCAGUGGCGAAGGCGACACACUGGCCCGUUACUGACGCUGAGGCGCGAAAGCGUGGGGAGCAAACAGG